rnacentral:lncRNA from 1 species
AAAAACAGAAAAUAUAGAAAAUCCCUCUAAAACCAAAGACCUUUAACCCAUAAUUUAUCUCAUUCCUCUUUUUUCCAUAUUCCUUUUUUUUCCGUUCUUACACCAUUGUUGCCCGCCUCGAUCGAUUUGUGUGCUGCCAUCCUAGCCUCUCUCCUACCCCGAUGCUUCACUGCUCACCGUCGUAGCUUUUUACCUAGGCCAACUGUCCCAGCCUCGGCCCCAUCGUUCCUACCCUACCGUGCCUCCAUCGUCGUUGUCCCAGGCCACUAUACCCAAUUCAUCCAACCCGCGUCAGGUAUAUUUUAUAUUUUAUUUAUUCAUCAAGCCUCGGCCCCAUUCUUUCUUUUUUAUAUUUUAUUUAUUUAUUUCUCUAUUUAUUGUUAUCUAACAUUAUUUUUUUAUUUUAUUAUUACUAUUAUUGACAUUAUUUUCUUUCUUUUCUGGUUGUUUUGCCUUACCUUUUUUUUAUUUUGUAGCUAAUUAUUAUCUAGAAAUCUUUUGAAGUUUCCGUCACCAGCAAUUGAAGUGAUUUGGGUUCUCCGGUGAUGAAAUGAGCCGGUAUAAAAAAAGGAUAUGAAUUUUCCCAUAUUUUAUUUUAUUUAUUAUUAUUUUAAAAUAUGACGAUGCUAAUAUCUUGUGUUUUCAAUUUAAUUCAACUUUGAAAAUUCGAUUUUUAAAUAAGGGGCUUAGCUUUUUCUAUUUUCUCCUAAGUUUUUAAAAUAUCAAUUUUAACCCUUUAUAUUUUUUUAAACUCUUAAAAUUUUGAAAUCGCAAAAUUGUCUGUCAAAUCACUCAGC